UUCCUACGGGAGGCUGCAGUGGGGAAUAUUGCACAAUGGGCGAAAGCCUGAUGCAGCGACGCCGCGUGCGGGAUGACGGCCUUCGGGUUGUAAACCGCUUUCGGCAGGGAAGAAGCCGUAAGGUGACGGUACCUGCAGAAGAAGCGCCGGCUAACUACGUGCCAGCAGCCGCGGUAAUACGUAGGGCGCAAGCGUUGUCCGGAAUUAUUGGGCGUAAAGAGCUCGUAGGCGGUUCGUCGCGUCUGCUGUGAAAUCCUCAGGCUCAACCUGGGGCGUGCAGUGGGUACGGGCGGACUAGAGUGCGGUAGGGGUGACUGGAAUUCCUGGUGUAGCGGUGGAAUGCGCAGAUAUCAGGAGGAACACCGAUGGCGAAGGCAGGUCACUGGGCCGCAACUGACGCUGAGGAGCGAAAGCAUGGGGAGCGAACAGGAUUAGAUACCCGGGUAGUCA
rnacentral:rRNA from 1 species